rnacentral:tRNA from 1 species
UCGGGGGUCGUCUAACGGUAGGACGGCAGCCUUUGGAGCUGCUUAUCGGGGUUCGAAUCCCUGCCCCCGAGCCA